GUAGUCGGUUUCAUAUCAAUCCACGUGUGUUGGCGUGGGUUGGAGUGAAAUUUGAACUAAAUUUCACCUCAAUUCACUUCAACCCAUGUGGAUCGAGGUGAAUCCGACA
rfam:Sorghum bicolor cultivar BTx623 chromosome 10, whole genome shotgun sequence.